AUUGAACGCUGGCGGCAGGCCUAACACAUGCACGUCGAACGAGUGGCGGACGGGUGCGUAAUGUCUGGGAAACUGCCUGAUGGAGGGGGAUAACUACUGGAAACGGUAGCUAAUACCGCAUACCAUCAGGUGCGCCAAGACGGGAGUAGAUUGUUGGUGGGGUAACGGCUCACAAAGGCGACGAUCCCUAGCUGGUCUGCGAGGAUGCCCAGCCAGACUGGAGCUGAGACACGGUGCAGACUCCUACGAGAGGUAGAAGUGGGGAAUAUUGCACAAUGGGCGCAAGCCUGAUGCAGCCAUGCCGCGUGUAUGAAGGAGGCCUUCGGGUUGUAAAGGACUUUCAGCGGGGAGGCGUUACCCGCAGAAGAAGCACCGGCUAACUCCGGGCCAGCAGCCGCGGUAAUAC
rnacentral:rRNA from 1 species